AGGGGACUGAGCACACUCGGCCUGGCCUGCGGGUCCUCUUCCCGUCGCCGACAGCCCCACGCCCAGGGCAGAUUUAGCUGCUGACAGCUGCUUGGGACUCUGCCGCCAGGCCUUGGCCCAGACCCGCCGCCGCCGCCUCCCCUCUCCUCUCGGGGACUCCUGAGCACGGCCCCUCCAUGGCCCAGAAGGAAGAGGCCGCUGCGGCUGAGGCACCUGCCUCCCAGAAUGGUGAGGAGCUGGACAACCUGGAUGACCCCGAGAAGCUGAAGGAGCUGAUCGAGCUGCCGCCCUUUGAGAUCGUCACGGGGGAGCGGCUGCCUGUCAACUUCUUUAAGUUUCAGUUCCGGAAUGUGGAGUACAGCUCCGGGCGGAACAAGACCUUCCUCUGCUACGUGAUCGAAGCGCAGAGCAAGGGAGGCCAAGUGCAGGCGACGCGGGGGUACCUGGAGGAUGAGCACGCGGCCGCCCACGCGGAGGAAGCCUUCUUCAACACGAUCCUGCCCGCCUUCGACCCGGCCGUGCGCUACGUGGUCACCUGGUACGUGUCCUCCAGCCCCUGCGCGGCCUGCGCGGACCGCAUCAUCAAAACCCUCAACAAGGCCAAGAACCUGCGCCUGCUCAUCCUGGUGGGGCGGCUCUUCAUGUGGGAGGAGCCCGAGAUCCAGGCGGCUCUGAGGAGGCUGAAGGAGGCCGGCUGCAGGCUGCGCAUCAUGAAGCCCCAGGACUUCGAGUACGUCUGGCAGAAUUUUGUGGAGCAAGAGGAGGGCGAAUCCAAGGCCUUUGAGCCCUGGGAGGACAUUCAGGAGAACUUCCUGUACUACGAGGAGAAGUUGGCGGACAUCCUCAAGUAGGCGGACUGGGCCCAGCCUCACAGUCAUGGGCCACUUCUUCCAGCUGCCAAGCUAGCAAGACCUCAAAGAUGUGUGUGUCGGCCUGCUGCCAAGAGACAGCAAUGACACAUGUGGCCAUCUGGGACGUGCCUGACUUCCCAAUAGCACUUGGAGCUGGACAACAUUCAACACCAACCAAUCCUACUGCACAAGGCCCUCAGAGGACUCCAAAUACACUUAUGCUGUAAAUCAUUGACGCUGCGCCUCUCUCUCUAAGGCUGCUCUUGGGAAAGAGGCAAGCGAGCUGAGAGGAGAGAAAUGGCAACCACACACGGGCACCAGGCAUCCGUGGGGCUGAAGGUCCUCCUUAUUCCCCUGACUGGGCUGCUUACGGCAAAAAGCCUCAAAGAUGUGCAAAGUCUGCACAUCUUUGAAAUAUGUCCAGAAAUGCAUCCGAUGUUAAGUUGGGGUUGUUUUUUUUUUUUAAAGAAAAACAGCAACAUUAAUAAAAAAAAGGUGGUGUGGUCUUUCUGUGACCAGCUUUUUUAAGGAACUUGGACAUUUAGGAAUUACUUUGGACAGUGAGCAAGUCUUGGGAAUAGGGCUGUCCCAGGCCAUGAACCAAGCCUAAACAACACAUAAAGGGGGAGGAAGACUUAAACCAGGACUUGCCUGGGUAACACAGGAUGUGCCAACUCUCCCAUCCACACUUCACACCUUGGUCUUGACCUUCAUAAAAUAUUUUCUUCCAAGAUCACUUGUAAAUGAGUGUCUUUUCCGUCCUCUGGAGACAAGGACUAUGGCAGAGGAUGGGACAAAAGGCAUUGGAAAUGCAGUAUAAGGUAUAUAAACAACCCCGACUGCCAAUUCAUAAGCACUUAGCCUUUUGAUUAAAGCGGAGAGGGUGAGAAGUA